AUGGCUAGAUUGAAGACCAGACAGAGAACAAGCAUCCUUAGCUAUCCCAAAGUUCUGAGAGCCUCUAGGUCUUCCCUGGCAUUGAGCAGAGACAUGCGCACUGGUGAGAGACUACCCAACUUUGGUCUGCAUCGUUGCCUGCUUUGCAGUGGGCCUGGAAUACCCCUGGAACAGCCCUGGCAGUUGCCUUGGUUUCACGUUAGUGAUGACAUGAAUAAGACAUACAUCAGUGAAAGUUUCUGCCUGUCCCAGUUAAACACACUCAAGGCAUUUCGAUGUGCUCUGCUCUGCUCUGCCCGGGUUGCAUGUGAAUCUCCAAUUUGUUGACAUAAAAAAUUUGGAAAUUCCAGAAAAAGACUGACAACUAGGGAAUAAAGGAGCCAGCCAAUAAUUACCACCCCGACCAGAAGAAAUCACUUAUUUCUUGGGGAUUAUGUAAGUACAGCUGCAGAUCUGAGUUUCUUUCUAGGAAUAUGAUAACACAUAAUAAAUGAUACAGAGCAUGAAAAAAACGUCUCUAAAAGGUAUGGGAGCUAAGAGUCCAGACUUUCAAACACUAAUCAGCCUCAUCUUGAUUUUUUACCCUUGGUCAUCAAGUGUCUGUCUUCCCACUCACCCCCCCACACACACACACCACUCUCCCCCAUAUACACAAAAGCUCA
rnacentral:lncRNA from 1 species